GAAUGACUCUCGGCAACGGAUAUCUCGGCUCUCGCAUCGAUGAAGAACGCAGCGAAAUGCGAUACUUGGUGUGAAUUGCAGAAUCUCGUGAACCAUCGAGUCUUUGAACGCAAGUUGCGCCCGAAGCCUUUCGGCCGAGGGCACGUCUGCCUGGGCGUCGCGCAG
rnacentral:rRNA from 1 species